GUCACCUGCAUUCACUGGUCCAGUUGUUAGUCCAAUUACAGAUGGAGAUUAUAAAAGAGGAUGAUGUCUUUUCUCCAACAUCUUUCUAGACUAAUAAAAGAUCUAGACAGGCUCAAACAAAAGUUAACAGAGGGGCUUAUAUAGAGAAUGGUGAGCAGCUACACAUAAAAGAAGAACAUGGAGAAUCUGCCCAGAGGUGUUAACCAGCAAUGCAGCUAUACAACUAAAUUGAUGCAGGCGGAAACAAUAAUGCAGCUGCUGCAGAUGAAGAAUCUGUCCGUCUAGCACUGAAGGAGAGGCGGAAAAUCGGGAAAAGAUGUUCUUUGCCCGAGGAAGCAUUUGAUUAAUUUAAAGAUAUUGUGUUUCUUUGUAU